GAUGAAGAACGCAGCGAAAUGCGAUACGUAAUGUGAAUUGCAGAAUUCAGUGAAUCAUCGAAUCUUUGAACGCACAUUGCGCCCGCCAGCACUCUGGCGGGCAUGCCUGUUCGAGCGUCAUUUCAACCAUCAAGCCCCCGGCUUGUGUUGGGGACCUGCGGCUGCCGCAGGCCCUGAAAUGCAGUGGCGGGCUCGCUGUCACUCCGAGCGUAGUAGUUACAUCUCGCUCUGGGCGUGCUGCGGGUUCCGGCCGUUAAAAGCCUUAUUUACCCAAGGUUGACCUCGGAUCAGGUAGGAAGACCCGCUGAACUUAAGCAUAUCAAUAAGCGGAGGA
rnacentral:misc_RNA from 1 species